rnacentral:rRNA from 1 species
CGAGGCAGAGAUGCGUAGCUGAUGGGAAGCAGGUUAAUAUUCCUGCACCGUCGUAUGAUGCGAUGGGGGGACGGAUCGCGGAAGGUUGUCUGACUGUUGGAAUAGUCAGUUUCUGCUUCAUAGAAGGCACUUAGGCAAAUCCGGGUGCGUAAUUCAAGGGAGUGGGACGAGCGGCUUUAUGCUGCGAAGCAAUCGGAAGUGGUUCCAAGAAAAGCCUCUAAGCUUCAGUCAUACGAGACCGUACCGCAAACCGACACAGGUGGGCGAGAUGAGUAUUCUAAGGCGCUUG